rnacentral:rRNA from 1 species
UACAGAGGGGGCAAGCGUUGUUCGGAAUUACUGGGCGUAAAGGGCGCGUAGGCGGCCUUCUAAGUCGAACGUGAAAUCCCAGGGCUCAACCCGGGAACUGCGUCCGAUACUGGAAGGCUUGAAUCCGGGAGAGGGAUGCGGAAUUCCAGGUGUAGCGGUGAAAUGCGUAGAUAUCUGGAGGAACACCGGUGGCGAAGGCGGCAUCCUGGACCGGUAUUGACGCUGAGGCGCGAAAGCCAGGGGAGCAAACGGG